rnacentral:rRNA from 1 species
UACGUAGGGUGCGAGCGUUAAUCGGAAUUACUGGGCGUAAAGCGUGCGCAGGCGGUUUUGUAAGCCAGAUGUGAAAUCCCCGGGCUCAACCUGGGAAUGGCAUUUGGGACUGCAAGGCUGGAGUUUGGCAGAGGAGACUGGAAUUCCCGGUGUAGCAGUGAAAUGCGUAGAUAUCGAGAGGAACACCGGUGGCGAAGGCGGCCAACUGGACGAAUACUGACGCUGAGACACGAAAGCGUGGGGAGCAAACAGG